rnacentral:rRNA from 1 species
CCUACGGGUGGCAGCAGUAGGGAAUCUUCCACAAUGGACGAAACUCUGAUGGAGCAACGCCGCGUGAGUGAAGAAGGGUUUCGGCUCGUAAAGCUCUGUUGGUAGUGAAGAAAGUUAGAGGUAGUAACUAGCCUUUACUGGAUGGUAACUACUUAGAAAGUCACGGAUAACUACGUGCCCGCACCCGCGGUAAUACGUAGGUGGCAAGCGUUGUCCGGAUUUAUUGGGCGUAAAGCGAGUGCAGGCGGUUCAAUAAGUCUGAUGUGAAAGCCUUCGGCUCAACCGUAGAAUUGCAUCAGAAACUGUUGAACUUGAGUGCAGGAGAGGGAAGUGGAAGUCCAUGUGUAGCGGUGGAAUGCGUAGAGAUAAGGAGGAAAACCAGUGGCGAAGGCGGCUUUCUGGACUGCAACUGACGCUGAGGCUCGAAAGCGUGGGUAGCAAACAGGAUUAGAUACCCCAGUAGUC